rnacentral:misc_RNA from 1 species
CUGGGGGUAAGUACGUAUGACUUGUUGACUACCAGACGCACAACUUAUUGAAUAUUGACCGCAUAGGCAAUCAGAUUGAACUAGUGUGUUUUCACAAGCUGUUUUGAGGUCAAUAGCUUUGGCUAACAGGCGAGACUGACUCAUGGUGUUUGAUUCUGCCAAAUUGCUAUGAUAACUUAAAUUUGACUGAGCGUUUGAGGCCAAAAUGUGGAAAAUAUUUGGCCAGCCUGCCCCCUUUUUCCAUAUCAUGUACUCAUUAAUGGGUUCUUAGACAGCUUUGCCUUGUAAAUCAAUUCGUUAGUCGCUGG